AGGGAAUCUUCCGCAAUGGACGAAAGUCUGACGGAGCAACGCCGCGUGAGUGAUGAAGGUUUUCGGAUCGUAAAGCUCUGUUGCCAGGGAAGAACGUCCUGUAGAGUAACUGCUACAGGAGUGACGGUACCUGAGAAGAAAGCCCCGGCUAACUACGUGCCAGCAGCCGCGGUAAUACGUAGGGGGCAAGCGUUGUCCGGAAUUAUUGGGCGUAAAGCGCGCGCAGGCGGCUGUUUAAGUCUGGUGUUUAAUCCUGGGGCUCAACCCCGGGUCGCACUGGAAACUGGGCAGCUUGAGUGCAGAAGAGGAGAGUGGAAUUCCACGUGUAGCGGUGAAAUGCGUAGAGAUGUGGAGGAACACCAGUGGCGAAGGCGACUCUCUGGGCUGUAACUGACGCUGAGGCAUGAAAGCGUGGGGAGCAAAC
rnacentral:rRNA from 1 species